GACACAUGGGACACUUUACAUGUUGCGUUUAUAUUUUUGAUCAGUAUACAUUGCCUGGCAGAGCUGAUGAGACAGUGGAUUGCGCAGUCAGAUGGAACAGAGUAAAUGCAAUGUCAUAGAUUUAGUAGGUGGAAUAGACACCGGCUAGAAUGUGGUUUUAACCAAUUGGCAUACAGGAUUAGAUCGACUCGUUGUAUAAUUCCAAGUUUCCUGUGUGUAUCAAAAAUGGUCCACCACCCAAAGGGCAUCCAGCCAAUUUGACUCAACUGUGGAAAGCAAUCAACAUGGGCCAGCUUCCCUGUGGAACAUUUUUGACACCUUGUUGAUUUCAUGCCCCACGAAUUCAGGCUGUUCUGAGGGCAAAAGGGGGUGCAACUCAGUAAUGUUUUGUACACUCAGUGUGUUUGUGUGUUAUUUAGUGCAGUUUCAUCAAAUUAUUUUUACACAUUUGUUUCAGAUGUCCAGGUGUCCUCAAAUAGAGAAUGAAAUAGCUUGAUUUGUCACACCCUGACUGUAGAUUGCUUUGUAGGUUUCUAUUUUUAGUUUGGUCAGGGUGUGACGUGGGUGGGUAUUCUAUGUUGUAGGUCUAGGUUUUCUUUUUCUAUGUGUUUGGCCUGGUAUGGUUCUCAAUCAGAGGCAGCUGUCUAUCGUUGUCUCUGAUUGAGAGCCAUACUUAGGUAGCCUGUUUUCCCGUUUUGAUUUGUGGGUGAUUAUUUUCUGGUUAGUGUUUGUUGCACCUGUCAGAACUUGGGUUAUCGGUUUGUUGUUUUUGUUCGUGUAUUCAGUUUUGAUUAAAAGUAUUAUGGACACGUACCACACUG